GAUCAAGCUACAAAGGGCGCACGGUGAAUGCCCUGCACUAGGAGCCGAUGAAGGACGUGAUAAGCUGCGAUAAGCUACAUGUAGGCGCACAUAGCCUGUGAUAUGUAGAUUUCCGAAUGGGGAACCCAUCUAGUUAUGCUAGAUACUGUAUACUGAAUACAUAGGUAUAUGGAGGUACACCUGGGGAACUGAAACAUCUAAGUACCCAGAGGAAGAGAAAGAAAAUUCGAUUCCCUAAGUAGCGGCGAGCGAAG
rnacentral:rRNA from 1 species